GUGUCAGCCGCCGCGGUAAGACGAACCUUGCAAACGUUAUUCGGAAUCACUGGGCUUAAAGCGCGUGUAGGCGGGCCGCCACGUCGGGCGCUGAAAUCCCCCGGCUCAACCGGGGAAUGGGCACCGAUACGAGCGGCCUCGAGGGGAGUAGGGGGACCUGGAACUUCCGGUGGAGCGGUGAAAUGCGUUGAGAUCGGAAGGAACGCCCGUGGCGAAAGCGAGGUCCUGGGCUUCUACUGACGCUGAGACGCGAAAGCCAGGGGAGCGAACGGGAUUAGAAACCCUAGUAGUCC
rnacentral:rRNA from 1 species